GCAAGAAGUACCAGGCUCGGCCACUUGAGAAGCCCCAGCCUCGACCUAGCCCACCCUCUCAAGGCCACAGUGCAGAAGCCUGCACCACCUGCCAAGUCUCUCCGGCUCCUUGCAGCUGCCUUCAGCAUGGCCCAGGCUUCUGCUGACCCGGACAGAGAAGCCAAGAGGACCCAGCAAUAUUCAGCUACAAUUCCAGAGGCCCCUGGCCCUCAGUUCAGCCAACAACGGGAGGAAGACAUCUACAGGUUUCUCAAAGACAAUGGUCCCCAGAGGGCCCUGGUCAUCGCCCAGGCACUGGGAAUGAGGACAGCAAAAGAUGUGAACCCAGACUUGUACAGGAUGAAGAGCAGGCACCUUCUGGACGUGGAUGAGCAGUCCAAAGCAUGGACGAUUUACCGCCCAGAAGAUUCUGGAAGAAGAGCAGAGUCGGUCUCAAUUAUUCACCAGCACAAUCCAAUCAACAUGAUCUGCCAGAAUGGACCGAAUAGCCGGAUUUCCAUCGCAAACUCCAAAGCCAUCCAGAUUGGACACGGGAACAUCAUUACAAGACAGACAGUCUCCAGGGAGGACGGUUCCACCGGUCCCUGCCACCUCCCUUCAAUGGCACCAGGUGAUUCCUCAACUCGGAGGAUCCUGCUUAAUCCCUGGGGCCCCCAGGACAUCCACAUGGAGCGGUCCAUACUCAAACGGGUGCAGCUGGGACACAGCAAUGAGAUGAGGCUUCACGGCGUCCCAUCCAAGGGCCCUGCCCACAGCCCUCCUGGCAGCCCCCCAGUCUCUGCCACUGCUGCCGGCCCAGAAGCUUCGUUUGAAGCAAGAAUGCCCAGUCCGGGAACUCACCCCGAGGGGGACGCCGCCCAGAGAAUCCACAUGAAAUCGUGCUUUCUCAAGGAUGCCACCAUCGGCAACAGCAACAAAAUGUCUAUCAGCCCAGGGGUGGCUGGCCCAGGAGGAGUCGCAGGGUCUGGAGAAGGGGAGCCAGGGGAGGACGCAGUUGCUGCCUUCACUGAAGUCUUAAACCCCUCAAAGUCGUUCAUGAAAGUUGGAAUCAACUUCUUCCAGACUCCUGUGAAUGUCGAUAGUUUGACCUCCUCCCGUGAAUCACAAAUGUUCUUAAUGGCAUGUAGAUUGGUGAUCUUUUCCAGAAGAUUUUCAACUUACUUUGCCCAGAUCCAUCUGAGGAAUCACUCUGCAUUGCACUUAUGCCCUUAUAAAAUGUAUUUAUUGAAGAAUAAGAAGUGAAUGUUGAAGUUACUCUUUAAUCCAUAGGCUGCAGAAUGGAUGCUGUGCUAGCAGGCAUGAAAACAAUGUUAAUCUUUUUUACAUCUCCAUCAGAGCCCUUGGAUGAACAUGUGCAUUGUCAACGAGCAGAAAAAGAAAUCAAAAACAAAAACAAAAAACAUUUUUUUUCUGGCCCUCAACCCAGGAUCCUGAACACCCAGCUACUGUGGUGUGGACAAUGAGCAGUAAAAUGUUCAAAGGAAUUUUUUUCUUCUAAGCAGUCCUCGUCCGGCAGACACACAAUCCAGAAGUCACUUUCCUCGAGACAUUGGUCAGCCUGUCACUCACAGCCACUCGAAGCUCACCUCCGAGCUGGAAGCUAUGACUCUUGGAAACAGGAGUCACAAAGCUGCAGAAGGCAGCCACUAUGUGGAUGAAGCCUCAUGCGAGGGGAGUUGGUGGGGAGGUGGGAUUUAGUGCACAGCCUCACGUGGGGCUUGGACACAGGCUGGGAGGGGGCGCAUGCUAGGGAAACUAGCCUGCUGCUCUCUGCAUUCCUUAGCGUCUUGUUCGACGUGCUUGCUUGCAGACAUAACCUGCAUGCGUCAGUUUUGGGGGGAUGGACCUGGCAUGGGGAUGGGUUCAGGCCAGGUCUUUUGAUGGCCAGGAGCAGAUGACAGGGAGUUGCCUUGGGGAACCUUUGGUGUGCCGAGAGGAGGUGGGUAGAUGGGAGUGGAGCUUGGUCUCCCAGGCCCAGGGGACUCUCUCCACUCUUUCCUGGGCUCGGGGCAUCUGCCUGGAGUUACCCUCCAUCAUGGCUACCUGCUGUGGUUUGAAUGUUGGAGUCCCAACAAAAUUCAUAACAAAACAUAAUCCCAGCUGGGGGCAGUGGCUCACGCCUGUAAUCCCAGCACUUUGGGAGGCCGAGGGGGGCGGAUCAGGAGGUCAGGAGAUCGAGACCAGCCUUACCAACAUGGUGAAACCCCGUCUCUACUAAAAAAAAUACAAAAAAUUAGCCGGGCGUUGUGGCGGGCGCCUGUAGUCCCAGCUACUCCGGAGGCUGAGGCAGGAGAAUGGCAUGAACGCGGGAGGCGGAGCUUGCAGUGAGCGGAGAUUGCGCCACUGCACUCCAGGCUGGGCGACAGAGAGAGACUCCGUCUCAAAAAAAAAAAAAAAAUAAAUAAAUAAUAAACAAA